rnacentral:rRNA from 1 species
GAUCAUGGCUCAGGAUGAACGCUAGCUACAGGCUUAACACAUGCAAGUCGAGGGGCAGUAUGGUCUUAGCUUGCUAAGGCCGAUGGCGACCGGCGCACGGGUGAGUAACACGUAUCCAACCUGCCGUCUACUCUUGGACAGCCUUCUGAAAGGAAGAUUAAUACAAGAUGGCAUCAUGAGUCCGCAUGUUCACAUGAUUAAAGGUAUUCCGGUAGACGAUGGGGAUGCG